rnacentral:rRNA from 1 species
UACGGAGGGGACUAGCGUUGUUCGGAAUUACUGGGCGUAAAGCGCACGUAGGCGGAUUUGUAAGUCAGGGGUGAAAUCCCGGGGCUCAACCUCGGAACUGCCUUUGAUACUGCAAAUCUCGAGUCCGGAAGAGGUGAGUGGAAUUCCUAGUGUAGAGGUGAAAUUCGUAGAUAUUAGGAAGAACACCAGUGGCGAAAGGCGGC